ACCCGCUGAACUUAAGCAUAUCAAUAAGCGGAGGAAAAGAAACCAACAGGGAUUGCCUUAGUAACGGCGAGUGAAGCGGCAACAGCUCAAAUUUGAAAUCUGGCCUCUUUGGGGUCCGAGUUGUAAUUUGCAGAGGGCGCUUUGGCGUUGGCAGCGGUUCAAGUUCCUUGGAACAGGACGUCACAGAGGGCGAGAAUCCCGUACGUGGUCGCUAGCCUUCGCCGUGUAAAGCCCCUUCGACGAGUCGAGUUGUUUGGGAAUGCAGCUCUAAAUGGGAGGUAAAUUUCUUCUAAAGCUAAAUACUGGCCAGAGACCGAUAGCGCACAAGUAGAGUGAUCGAAAGAUGAAAAGCACUUUGGAAAGAGAGUCAAACAGCACGUGAAAUUGUUGAAAGGGAAGCGCUUGCAGCCAGACUUGCCUGUAGUUGCUCAUCCGGGCUUUUGCCCGGUGCACUCUUCUGCGGGCAGGCCAGCAUCAGUUUGGGCGGUUGGAUAAAGGUCUCUGUCAUGUACCUCUCUUCGGGGAGGCCUUAUAGGGGAGACGACAUGCAACCAGCCCAGACUGAGGUCCGCGCAUUUGCUAGGAUGCUGGCGUAAUGGCUGU
rnacentral:rRNA from 1 species